UACGUAGGGGGCAAGCGUUGUCCGGAUUUACUGGGUGUAAAGGGCGUGUAGGCGGAUCGUUAAGUCAGGGGUGAAAUUUUGCGGCUCAACCGUAAGGGUGCCCUUGAUACUGUCGGUCUGGAGUAUGGGAGAGGAAGAUGGAAUUCCUGGUGUAGCGGUGAAAUGCGUAGAUAUCAGGAGGAACACCGGUGGCGAAGGCGGUCUUCUGGCCCAUUACUGACGCUGAGGCGCGAAAGCAUGGGGAUCAAACAGG
rnacentral:rRNA from 1 species